UCCUUACUGCUUCUGGGUGGUUUGUUGCUCUGUGUGUAUCUGCAGGACACAGUGCUUGGGCUCAGCACUGACUCAUCUACCUCCUGCAGGAAGAGACUGAUUCUGUAAUAAAGAUAAAGAUGUGCCACUGCUGGAUGUGUGCACAGCAUUUAGCAGGCUGGGCAUAAAUCAGGACAGGAACUGAAGAAUAGCAGUGUUACUGUAUGGUGUGCAUUUGCCACCUUCAAGUUUCCUCCAGUGUCCUGGUGAUGGCCGCCCAUGCUGGCAAAUGGGUGCUCAGGGCAGGUGGCUCUGCUCCGUGAAGAAAAUUUCUCCUUACUUCCAGUGCCCUGGCUCUUGAAGAUGGGUGGAGAAAGGCCUGAAGGCCACAUAAUGGAAUAAUGAACAUGGAAUCAUUUGAGUUGGAAGGGACUUGUAAAGACCUUCUGGUAGAACUCCUCUAAGUGAACAGGGAUACCUACAACAAAAUCAGGAUGCUUCCCCUGGAGCCUUCUCCUCUGCAGGCUGCACAGCCCCAGCUUUCAGCCUGUCCGUGUAGGGAGAUGUUCCAUCCCUGGGACCAUUUUAGUGGCCCUUGCUCUGCAGCAGGUCCAUGUCUCUCUGGCACUGAGGACUCCCCAUCUGGACACAGUGCUCCAGGUGAGGUCUGACAGCACAGAGCAGUGGGGCAGAUCCCCUCCCUUGCCCUGCUGGCCACAGCUCGCUGGUUACAUCCACCUGGAAGCCAUCCAAAGCAAUUCUGCCAUUUGACCACGACCCAGAGCCCAGCCCUCCUGGUCUUGGUGAGCAGCUGAAACCAAGAUCACUUGGAUGCUGCAGGGAAAGUAUUUUUCUGCUGGUGAUGCUGCAGGCAUUGCAAGAUUCAUGACGUGUUGGUAAUCUCCUGGGGAACACUGGUUGCUUCACAUUUCUGGUCCAAGGAAGGUCAUGCAAAGUUCAGAGCAGCUUUGGGAAAAUAUUUGAACUUCUGGAUGUUUGUGCGAACCCAACCUCUGACUUCUCGUGUGAAAACGAGCCUCUCGUUUUCUUAUUCUGUAAGUACUGAGGGACAACACCCUCAGUGCACGCGUGUGUCUGCAUGGUGGAAAAGCAACUGCUUUGUUUCAAGAAUGUGAAAAAAGUCUGACAUGAGCACAUCAUUGUGGAUUGCUGUGUCCCAGCGGUUGGCAGAAGAAGAAAUGCCUUGGAUCUAGAUAGCACAACUCCACAAACACCUCAAUCCUGAAACAAAAUGGGUCCUAUUACUGCUAGGACUCAAAUACCUGAACCCCAUUGAGGAAAUUGUCCUCACACCUAAUCCAUCAUCCCUGGCCUGAGUACCCCUCUGUCCCCCCGGAGCAAUUUCAGCACUGUGUAUAACAGAGCGUGCAUUAUUCCUUAAUGCAAGGAAAAGACUGGCUCGUUGUUUUGAGAAGGAAAGCAGAUUUGACCAUUUUGCAGUGAGCUGCAGAUGCAGGGAGCAGAAUGCAAAGGUGGUCUCAGGGCCCGAAGGGGUGCUUUUGGAAGGUUUUUCCUCUUUUUAUCCAUCCUCUGGUCCUUUUUCUCCCGCUCUCCAGGCUGGAUUACCUAAUAUCAGAAAGCAGAAAUACAACUGACUUAAAGGUUAUCCAUUGCAUGCUGUGUGUGUACACGCAGAAGGAUUGAUGUAAAAAGGAAAAGGGAGGAAAAAAAGAAAGAGUUCGCGUUUCCAAAGGUUCCAAGCAAGGAUGCCCAGCAGCACAUGGUGUUGGUGCCCAGGACCACAAGCCUGUUUGCUCCCCAGCUGAUUUUGGGCUCCUUGGCCACCAUUGCCCACAGAUCUGCAGGGAAUCUGUGUGACAUCUGCCCCUGCAAUUUGAUUCCUGAGCUCUGUGAAGCGUCACUAACACAGCCAGAUGUCCCACCUGGAAAGGGGCAUGGAGAAGAUAAAGCUGAUUUCCUCCCCUGGUGGCAGCAGCGGAUGCAGAGAACAAUAGGUAUGGUGCCUGCUCAGGGAACAACUCCUGCUCCCCUGUGCCAUGCCCAGCCCUCAGCUGGGAUGGAGGGACCCACCCGAGGGAAAAACCAGCUCCAGAGGAGUGGUUUGGAAAAGAACAUUGCAAAAAUUCAUGGAAAACAGUGACUGAAUGAAGAAUGACGUCGUGCAACUGUUCCAGGAAAG